rnacentral:rRNA from 1 species
CAGCCGCCGCGGGAAUACGAAGGGUGCAAGCGUUAAUCGGAAUUACUGGGCGUAAAGCGCGCGUAGGUGGUUCAUUAAGUUGGAUGUGAAAUCCCUGAGCUUAACUUAGGAAUUGCAUUCGAUACUGGGAAGCUAGAGUAUGGGAGAGGACGGUAGAAUUCCAGGUGUAGCGGUGAAAUGCGUAGAGAUCUGGAGGAAUACCGAUGGCGAAGGCAGCCAUCUGGCCUAAUACUGACGCUGAGGUACGAAAGCAUGGGGAGCAAACAGGAUUAGAUACCCCUGUAGUCCCUGUCUCUUAUAC